UACGAAGGGGGCUAGCGUUGCUCGGAAUCACUGGCGUAAAGGGUGCGUAGGUGGAUUUUUAAGUCAGGGGUGAAAUCCUGGAGCUCAACUCCAGAACUGCCUUUGAUACUGAAAGUCUUGAGUUCGGGAGAGGUGAGUGGAACUGCGAGUGUAGAGGUGAAAUUCGUAGAUAUUCGCAAAGAACACCAGUGGCGAAGGCGGCUCACUGGCCCGAUACUGACACUGAGGCACGAAAGCGUGGGGAGCAAACAGG
rnacentral:rRNA from 1 species